CCGGGCAAUGGAAAUGACCUGGUCUAAGGGUGUAGGGCUGCCGGUAGGUAAAUCCGCCGGCUGUAUGCCUGAGACCUGAUGGGCGCCCACAUGGUGGGUG
rnacentral:rRNA from 1 species